CGCCAAUCCGAUAAAAAGCGCGCACCGGCGUGGCGCGCUUCGCCCCCAGGAGCCCCGAUCAUCUCCCGCUCCCUUCCUUCCUCCUCCUCCUCCUCAUGGCUCUGUCGUCCGCCGGCUCGUUCGUGGCCUGCAGCCUCCGGCCAAGCGGAGCUAGCAUCCAUGCCCCGAGGUCGCCGCCGCACCUGAAGCCGGGUGCUGCGGCGGCGUCGUUCACGAGGACGCCGCAGCGCCGGGCGAACGCGACCAAGGGCGGCGUGUCCACCGUGUGCGAGCCGCUGGGCCCCGACAGGCCGAUCUGGUUCCCCGGCAGCUCCCCUCCGCCGUGGCUCGACGGAAGCCUUCCAGGAGACUUUGGAUUUGACCCUCUCGGACUAGGUUCGGAGCCGGAGCUGCUGCGGUGGUUCGCGCAGGCGGAGCUGAUGCACGGGCGGUGGGCGAUGCUGGCGGCGGCGGGCAUCCUGGUCCCGGACCUGCUGGCGCGGUGGGGCUUCAUCGACGCGGGGUUCUCGUGGUUCGACGCCGGGUCCCGCGAGUACUUCGCGGACCCCUGGACGCUGUUCGUGUCGCAGAUGGCGCUGAUGGGGUGGGCGGAGGGGCGGCGGUGGGCGGACUACCUGAGGCCCGGGUGCGUGGACAUCGAGCCGCGCUUCCCGAACCGCAAGAACCCGGUGCCCGACGUGGGGUACCCCGGGGGGCUGUGGUUCGACUGGGCCAACUGGGGCCGCGGGUCCCCGGAGCCCGUGAUGGUGCUGCGCACCAAGGAGAUCAAGAACGGGCGGCUCGCCAUGCUCGCCUUCGUCGGCUUCUGGUUCCAGGCCGUGUACACGGGCCAGGGCCCCAUCGACAACCUGCUCGCGCACCUCGCCGACCCCGGCCACUGCAACAUCUUCUCGGCGUUCACGUCCCACUGAUCCGAUCUUGCUUCGGAGCUGGCGGAGAGACUGCGAAGGAUUAAAAAAAAGGGCAUCCUGUUGAGGGAGAAAGAACUUCGCUUGGGACGUCUGUAGCCAAAAGUUUAAUACGCAUCUGCAGGAGAAAGAAAAGAAAGAAAAAGAAAUUAUCAUCCAGAGAAUACGUGGGAAAUAAGCAGGAAUACAUAACCAAGAUAUUUGCCAGGCCAUCAUGCAAAUCCUUGGAGUUGGCGGCCACAAAGAUAGGAGUUUGUUGUAAUCUUUUCCUAUUAUUUAGAAUAAGUUAGUUUUAUAUCCAGUUAGAGACGGGAUAUAUAAGCACUAUUGUAAGCUGCAAAGACGAGAGAUCAACAGUUAUCAUUUUCUUU